GCGACCCCAGGAUGGGCGAGGCCACCCGCCGAGUUUAAGCAUAUCAAUAAAGCGGAGGAGAAGAAACUUACGAGGAUUCCCUAUACGC
rnacentral:rRNA from 1 species